rnacentral:rRNA from 1 species
GCAAGUCGAGGGGCAGCGGGGAAAAGCUUGCUUUUCCGCCGGCGACCGGCGCACGGGUGCGCACCGCGUAUGGAACCUGCCUUGUACAGGGGAAUAGCCCAGGGAAACUUGGAUUAAUGCCCCGUAGUACCGUAUUUCGGCAUCGUUAUACGGUUAAAGCCUUCGGGCGGUACAAGAUGGCCAUGCGUCCCAUUAGCUUGUUGGUAAGGUAACGGCUCACCAAGGCAACGAUGGGUAGGGGGCCUGAGAGGGUGGUC